UACGAAGGGGGCUAGCGUUGCUCGGAAUCACUGGGCGGAAAGCGCACGUAGGCGGUCUUUUAAGUCAGGGGUGAAAUCCUGGAGCUCAACUCCAGAGCUGCCUUUGAUACUGAGAGACUUGAGUCCGGGAGAGGUGAGUGGAACUGCGAGUGUAGAGGUGAAAUUCGUAGAUAUUCGCAAGAACACCAGUGGCGAAGGCGGCUCACUGGCCCGGUACUGACGCUGAGGUGCGAAAGCGUGGGGAGCAAACAGG
rnacentral:rRNA from 1 species